CUGAUAUUGAUGCUGUUGACAUACUACAUGAAUCACCUUGCAAUUUGAAUGAAGAACAUAUUAUGUCCUUGUUGCAAGCAAUUAAUCUAAAACUCCGAGUUGUCAAUCUCCAGGACGUGUCAUUGGAAGAGGACUUUUUGUGGGAUCUAUGUCAGCAUGGCUUAUCUUGCAAAAUUUUGAACUUGAAGACCACCCACAUCCAAAAAUUGAACAUGGUUGGAAACUUUAUGCAAUUACA
rnacentral:misc_RNA from 1 species